rnacentral:rRNA from 1 species
AUUGAACGCUGGCGGCAGGCCUAACACAUGCCAGUCGAGCGGAUGAAGGGAACUUGCUCCUUGAUUCAGCGGCCGACGGGUGGACAAUGCCUAGGAAUCUGCCUGGUAGUGUGUGAUUACGGGCGGAAACGGGGGCUAAUACCGCAUAAGUCCUUAGGGACAAAGUGUGGGAUCUUGGGAUCUUACGCUAUCAGAUGAGCCUAGGUCGCAUUAGCUAGUUGGUGGGGUAAAGGCCUACCAAGGCGACGAUCCGUAACUGGUCUGAGAGGAUGAUCAGUCACACUGGAACUGAGACACGGUCCAGACUCCUACGGGAGGCAGCAGUGGGGAAUAUUGGACAAUGGGCGAAAGCCUGAUCCAGCCAUGCCGCGUGUGUGAAGAAGGUCUUCGGAUUGUAAAGCACUUUAAGUUGGGAGGAAGAGCAGUAAGUUAAUACCUUGCUGUUUUGACGUUACCAAAAGAAUAAGCACCGGCUAACUUCGUG